rnacentral:rRNA from 1 species
GCGGAAAGGCCCGCAAGGGCACUCGAGCGGCGUAAGGGACAGUAAUGUGUAGGUACGUACCCCUGGAUCUGGGAUAGCUGCGGGAAACUGCAAUUAAUACCAGAUAAUGUCUUCGGACCAAAGGUGUGACUCCGUCUGGGGAGCGGCCUGCAUCCUAUUAGCUAGUUGGUGUGGUAAUGGCGCACCAAGGCAAAGAUGGGUAGCAGGUGUGAGAGCACGACCUGCGUCACUGGGACUGAGACACUGCCCAGACACCUACGGGUGGCUGCAGUCGAGGAUCUUCGGCAAUGGGCGCAAGCCUGACCGAGCGACGCCGCGUGUGGGAUGAAGGCCUUCGGGUUGUAAACCACUGUCAGAGGGGAUGAAAUGCCGUUGGGCACUCUCAACGGUUUGACAGAUCCUCAGAGGAAGGGUGGGCUAAGUUCG